rnacentral:lncRNA from 1 species
UACUAACCAUUUUAUUUCAUUUUUCAUCCAUUUCUUGAGCAUUUUACCAUUUCAUCCCCAUCUCUCAUAGUUUAGCCACUUUACCUUUUCAAUUUCUAUGUCAAAUGGACAUGUAAUUUUAGGUAGUUUAAUUUCCUUUUAAUUCCUUACAAGACCAUAGCAUGUAAACUAGGGCAAUGUAAAGGACAAUGGACUCUCUAUAGUGAUGUACACCGACACAAGCACCGACACGCACACACGUUGUAUGUUUACCGUUUUAGAUGUAUGUUUAGGAGACGCGAUACUUAGAAAAUGUUCAUUUUUCAAAGCAAAUUAAUUCCAUCACUCAAAUCUUUCCUAAUAAACCUUGGAGUCAAAACUCCAUUGUAUUUUCCUUUAUUUUCUUAAUCAAAUUCAAAUGAAUCUUAAUUUCUACUUAGACA